rnacentral:tRNA from 1 species
GCGAACAUGGUGGAAUAGGCAGACACGCCAGCUUGAGGGGCUGGUCGAAGCAAUUCGGUGCAGGUUCAAGUCCUGUUGUUCGCACCA